rnacentral:rRNA from 1 species
UACAGAGGUGCCGAGCGUUAGGCGGAAUCACUGGGCUUAAAGCGUGUGUAGGCGGACGUCUAAGUACCUUGUGAAAUCCCACGGCUCACCCGUGGAACUGCUGGGUAUACUGGGCGUCUUGAGCCACCUAGGGGCCAGCGGAACAAAUGGUGGAGCGGUGAAAUGCGUAGAUAUCAUUUGGAACGCCAACGGUGAAAACAGCUGGCUGGGGGUGCGCUGACGCUGAGACACGAAAGCCAGGGGAGCAAACGGG